CCUACGGGACGCAGCAGUGGGGAAUAUUGGACAAUGGGCGCAAGCCUGAUCCAGCCAUGCCGCGUGAGUGAAGAAGGCCUUAGGGUUGUAAAGCUCUUUCACCGGUGAAGAUAAUGACGGUACCCGUAGAAGAAGCCCCGGCUAACUUCGUGCCAGCAGCCGCGGUAAUACGAAGGGGGCUAGCGUUGCUCGGAAUGACUGGGCGUAAAGGGCGCGUAGGCGGUUUAUGCAGUCAGAUGUGAAAUCCCCGGGCUUAACCUGGGAACUGCAUUUGAGACGCAUAGACUAGAGGUCGAGAGAGGGUUGUGGAAUUCCCAGUGUAGAGGUGAAAUUCGUAGAUAUUGGGAAGAACACCGGUGGCGAAGGCGGCAACCUGGCUCGGUACUGACGCUGAGGCGCGAAAGCGUGGGGAGCAAACAGGAUUAGAUACCCUGGUAGUC
rnacentral:rRNA from 1 species